NNNNNNNNNNNAAAAAGUCAUCAAUAACAAAGUUGUAUAACUCAUCAAUAUCUCUAACUUUUAUUUUGGUCAUUUCUUCAUUCGAUAAAGUGAUAGUAAUAUUAUUCAUAAAUUUUACAUAUCUCCCAUAUAGUUUCAUAAAUUAUACGAGAGAUAUGUAAAAUUUGUGAACAAUGUUAGUAUCACUUUGUUGGAUGAAGAAAUGACCAAAAUAAAAGUUAUAGAAAUUGAUUAGUUAUACAACUUUGUUGUUGAUAACUUUUUCAGUUGAAAUC
rnacentral:pre_miRNA from 1 species